rnacentral:rRNA from 1 species
ACGAACGCUGGCGGCGUGCUUAACACAUGCAAGUCGAACGGAAAGGCCCUGCUUUUGUGGGGUGCUCGAGUGGCGAACGGGUGAGUAACACGUGAGUAACCUGCCCUUGACUUUGGGAUAACUUCAGGAAACUGGGGCUAAUACCGGAUAGGAGCUCCUGCUGCAUGGUGGGGGUUGGAAAGUUUCGGCGGUUGGGGAUGGACUCGCGUCUUAUCAGCUUGUUGGUGGGGUAGUGGCUUACCAAGGCUUUGACGGGUAGCCGGCCUGAGAGGGUGACCGGCCACAUUGGGACUGAGAUACGGCCCAGACUCCUACGGGAGGCAGCAGUGGGGAAUAUUGCACAAUGGGCGGAAGCCUGAUGCAGCAACGCCGCGUGCGGGAUGACGGCCUUCGGGUUGUAAACCGCUUUCGCCUGUGACGAAGCGUGAGUGACGGUAAUGGGUAAAGAAGCACCGGCUAACUACGUG